UUUUGCAGAUGAUAUGUAAAUAGCCAAUGUGUCAAAAGAAUGUUGCAAGCUCAUCAGGUUCCACAGUCGUUAUAUACAUCCGAUGAUAGUGUCAAAGGAAGCAAAAAGGUAUAGUAAUGGCUAUACUAAUCCUGGGGCAUCUAUACCUAGCAAAGACGGGCAAGACGUGCUUGAUGACUGCAAGUAUCUUCAUAAUUUGAUCGAGUCUAAUGAUGUAGAUUUUUGCUUAAUGAUACGAGAGAAAGUCGUCUGCCAACUCUAUUAUAUGCUGAUGCUAAUAAGCUUUUGUUUGCUUUGUCUAGGGCGUUAAAGUUUUUCAAAUUAAUACAUUAUAAAUGUACCAAUGAGGUGGUGGUCCAUUGUCAAAGGCAAAGCCUUUAAACACCUUGGGAGGUGGAGGUCUUCGGUUCAAGUCCCACAGAUGAUAGGGAAUAAACGAAAUUUGUCGUUCAAAAAAAUACAUUAUAAAUGCAUAUAAUUAUGAUAUAUAAUGAUUUUUAAUUCAUUUUCCGUACUCCAGUGUUUAUGAACUAUGUAUGGGACUGGGCACGAAAUGUAAAGCAUCCACGCGAUCAAUCUGUUACCACAGUCCACGUAGAAUUGGUAUAAUCCUAGACAAGGAAUCAUUAUUAACAACCCAGAAGGUGUUGAUGUGUAUCAUGGAGUCCCAAAGGUUUGUGUUUCAUUCAUGAACAUUUACUUUAGCCAACUUAAACUCAUGACUUUUUAAAUCUAACACACUAUGUUCUCUGAUCUGCCACAAGUCACUUAAAGAUGAUGACAUUGGGAUGAUGUGAAUGUCGACAACUUUAUUGUUGUUUUGCUCAGGUAUAAAACAAAAGUUAAAUGGCGGUCCAAAUGACCAGAUUUUUAUUUACUAUUCUGACCAUGGUGGUCAUGGACCCUUGGUGUGCUAGGUUCGUGACUAACUCCUUUAAAACUGAAAUUACUAAACUAAUUUAUUGCAAUUUUGUAAUUUUUUCUGGGAUGCCAACAAAACCUUACCUGUAUGCAAAUGAUUUUAAUGAGGUUUUGAAACAAAAGCAUGCUUCAGGGAACAUAUGAAAGCUUGGUAUGUAUUUCUAAUGUACUAUCAUAUGCUAUAGUAUAGCGAUGCUGAUUUUGGAAUUGAUAUAUUUUACCUCGAGGUAAUUUUAUAUUGAAGCCUGUGACUCUGGAAGUUUAUUGAGGAGGAUCCUCUUCCUCAAGGUUUGAUUACUUUUGAAUCAUAACCUCAUUUAUUCAACCAAAUCUCUCCCCUUUCUGAAAGCCCCUAUCAAUAAGUAAGUAGAGUUUUAAUAAAAAAACAUCUUUAUCACAUUUAAACCUUAUUUGUGAAACUGGAAUUCUUUUAGUCAUUUUGUAGAGGAUCCCUGAAGUCUUUCAUUAAAGGGUUUCUUUCCAAAGAUAGUGUAGUAUUGUUUGGAUAGUUGAUAACUUUUAUUCGUGUUAAUUGGUAGAAAAUGAUAAUUGUUAAAUUUGUGUUGCUUUUGUUUGCAUGGAUGAAGCAAGUUGGAUAGUUUGAUAACUUUUAUUCACGUUUUAAUAUUUAACUGAAUCAUCUUGCUUCAAGUUCUGUAAAUUUUGUAAGUAGUUAGUGAAUAGUUCAUAGUAUACCUGCUUUUUUGCUUCACUUUUUAUUAAGUCUAUCAGGCUUAAAGAAUUCUAAUGGGUAUUAGUAGUCAACUUGUUAUCAUUAAGUCGAUAUAACUGGGUUAUUUUCAGAUUUUCUUAUUUCUUUCUUCUUGAUGUAUUGAUUUUUCAUUCUAUAUUUAGACUAUUACAAUUUGUUAUUAGCAGGGUAAGGGUAACUGGAUUUUUGCUUCUUUUUUCUUGAUUGAUACAGAUAAAGAAGUCAAGAGUUUCUUAGAAUUCAUCAGCUACAUAAAGGAAAAAUCAAGAUUUUAUUAGAAUUCAUCAGCUACACCUAUGAUGUAUUUGGUUUCACUGUUGAACUAAAGCUAUCAACAGUGUGUUUUAUUAUUCUAUAUUCACACCUAGCAUUCAACUAAUUCAAUAUUUUGUGGUUUUGGUUUAUCAAAGUUCAUCCUUUCAUCCCCCGUGCAUCUCGUAGUGUCGCAAUGUAAAGUGUCACCCCGCCGCAUCGCACGGGCACCCUACUAGUAUAGAUAUAUUGAUUAGAUAUUACAGUUGGCCUUUAAAAAAUGUUAGAAUUUGGGAACGCACUCUUCAAGGGUUUGUGUGCAGAAAGGUAUUAUAAGCUACUUUAUAGAUUAUUUACUAUAUGGAUUAUUAGAAUUUUACUUUUACGAAUUUGUAAACCAACGCUAGGAUUAUUAUUUAUUAGAAUAUGAUUUUU